rnacentral:rRNA from 1 species
CGGACCUUGUAUCAAUGGCACCACGAGGGCUUUACUGUCUCCUCUCUCUAAUCAGUGAAACUGAUCUUCCCGUGAAGAAGCGGGAAUAAAUCUAUAAGACGAGAAGACCCCAUGGAGCUUUAAGCUAGCUUCACAUCUAUUUUAUAUAUCUUCUAAUUAAAUAGAACACUGCCUGCUCAGCUUUAGGUUGGGGUGACCGCGGAACAUAACAUAACUUCCACGAUGUACAAAACUAUUUUUUUAUCUAAGAAUAACUAUUCUAAGAAUUAGCAUUCUAACAUAUGAUGAUCCGAUAAUCGAUCAACGGACUAAGUUACCCUGGGGAUAACAGCGCAAUCCAUUUCAAGAGCCCCUAUCGACAAAUGGGUUUACGACCUCGAUGUUGGAUCAGGAUAUCCUAGUGGUGCAGCAGCUACUGAAGGUUCGUUU